rnacentral:lncRNA from 1 species
GUAGGUAAAGGCUCUGAGUCCUUUAUCCCACUCCAUACAGAGAAGAUUUCACUUUUUGGUUGCAUACAGUGGGCUCUACAUAAGAUUUCAUUUGAACAAAAGAGGCUGCUGCUGCGAAGAACUCGACAAUUGCUGGCCUGGGGCAGCGUCCAGACCCCACUCUGGCCACGGGGGAGCUGCGACGCUAUUGCUGAGCCUUGGCAUUCAUAGCAGACCUGAGGAUCCCACUCCAUCCUCCAGCAGGCCACCGGCCUCCCAGGAUCACCAUCCACCUUGUUCCCUGAAGGUUCCACUGACCUCUGGAACGAGCUCAGGCUUGGGUUCUCCACCGGUUGUGGGGGAUGAAAACCCUGACUCUAAGAUAAAGGCCACUACGUGAACCUGGAGUUCUUCAGAGUCACCAUGUGGAAAAUGUGAUAACACAACAAACCAGAGAAUGUGUCUGGCACUGGGUGGGCUCUGAAGAAAUGUCAGGUUUAUGUCUUGCUCUGUUCCUCAGUUUCCAUCAGAGACACAAGUUGGCCUGUCCCAGAGUCCUUGCUGACACGGCUACCUGAUCCAUGCGGAAUCUCUGCCAUUGAU